GUUGAACGCUGGCGGCAUGCUUUACACAUGCAAGUCGAACGGUAACAGGCCUUUGGGUGCUGACGAGUGGCGUACGGGUGUGUAAUGCAUGGGAGUGUACCGUGAGGUGGGUGAUAACGCAGCGGAAGCUAUGCUAGUACCGCAUGUGUUCUGCGGUUGACAGCGGGGGACCGGGCAGCAAUGUUUGGCCUCGCGCCUUUGGAGCGGCCGAUGUCGGAUGAGCUAGUUGGUGGGUUACAGGCCUAACAAGCCGACGAUCCGUAGCCGGUCUGAGUGCAGGACCAGCCGCACUGGGACUGAGAAACGGCCCACACUCCUGCGGGAGGCAGCAGUGGGGAAUGUUGGACAAUGGGCGCAAGCCUGAUGCAGCAAUGCCGCGCGCGGGAAGAGGGCCUACGGGUUGUAAACCGCAUAUGGCAGGAACGAACCGGUGUCCGCUAAUGCCGGGCGCUAGGGACGGUACAUGCAAGAUAAGGACCGGGUAAAUAAGUG
rnacentral:rRNA from 1 species